GGCGAACGGGUGAGUAACACGUGGGUGAUCUGCCUUGCACUCUGGGAUAAGCUUGGGAAACUGGGUCUAAUACCGGAUAGGAACCGUCUUUAGUGUGGUGGUUGGAAAGUUUUUCGGUGCAAGAUGAGCUCGCGGCCUAUCAGCUUGUUGGUGGGGUAAUGGCCCACCAAGGCGUCGACGGGUAGCCGGCCUGAGAGGGUGUACGGCCACAUUGGGGCUGAGAUACGGCCCAG
rnacentral:rRNA from 1 species